GGGCCCGCACAAGCGGUGGAGCAUGUGGUUUAAUUCGACGCAACGCGAAGAACCUUACCCAGGCUUGACAUGCAUCGGACGGGUGUGGAAACACACCUUCCCUUCGGGGCCGAUGCACAGGUGCUGCAUGGCUGUCGUCAGCUCGUGUCGUGAGAUGUUGGGUUAAGUCCCGCAACGAGCGCAACCCUUGUCCUUAGUUGCUAACGGGUCAAGCCGAGCACUCUAAGGAGACUGCCGGUGAUAAACCGGAGGAAGGUGGGGAUGACGUCAAGUCCUCAUGGCCCUUACGCCUGGGGCUACACACGUGCUACAAUGGCCGAUACAGAGGGUUCCGAGACCGCGAGGUGGAGGCAAUCCCAAAAAAUCGGUCUCAGUUCGGAUCGCAGUCUGCAACUCGACUGCGUGAAGUCGGAAUCGCUAGUAAUCGCUGAUCAGCAGGCAGCGGUGAAUACGUUCCCGGGCCUU
rnacentral:rRNA from 1 species